rnacentral:rRNA from 1 species
CGGGCUGGACCUCUCGGGGUUACAGCCUUGCUGAAUUAUUCACCCUUGUCUUUUGCGUACUUCUUGUUUCCUUGGUGGGUUCGCCCACCACUAGGACAAACAUAAACCUUUUGUAAUUGCAAUCAGCGUCAGUAACAAAUUAAUAAUUACAACUUUCAACAACGGAUCUCUUGGUUCUGGCAUCGAUGAAGAACGCAGCGAAAUGCGAUAAGUAGUGUGAAUUGCAGAAUUCAGUGAAUCAUCGAAUCUUUGAACGCACAUUGCGCCCUUUGGUAUUCCAAAGGGCAUGCCUGUUCGAGCGUCAUUUGUACCCUCAAGCUUUGCUUGGUGUUGGGCGUCUUGUCUCUAGCUUUGCUGGAGACUCGCCUUAAAGUAAUUGGCAGCCGGCCUACUGGUUUCGGAGCGCAGCACAAGUCGCACUCUCUAUCAGCAAAGGUCUAGCAUCCAUUAAGCCUUUUUUUCAACUUUUGACCUCGGAUCAGGUAGGGAUACCCGCUGAACUUAAGCAUAUCAAUAAGCGGAGGAAAAGAAA